UACGUAGGUGGCAAGCGUUGUCCGGAUUUAUUGGGUUUAAAGGGUGCGUAGGCGGCUUUGUAAGUCAGUGGUGAAAUAUGGCAGCUUAACUGUCAAGGUGCCAUUGAUACUGCGGAGCUUGAGUACAGAUGAGGUAGGCGGAAUUGACGGUGUAGCGGUGAAAUGCUUAGAGUAUCGAUCAAGAACACCUAUAGCGAAGGCAGCUUACUAGGCUGUAACUGACGCUGAGGCACGAAAGUGUGGGGAUCAAACAGGA
rnacentral:rRNA from 1 species